UCAUUUCUGCUCGGUUCUGUCCUCUUCCGUGUAGAUGAUACUUUGCACCCCAUCUUACUGGUUGUAAGAAAACAUUAUUGCACUGCUUUCUAUCCGUUUGCGUUUGUUCCUCGAAGUCAUGUGACCUGAAGUUACAGGUGACGCACCUUGUUAUUUCCUUGACAGAUCAGCAUAUAUCAGCAAUCUUCACACAAGCGAAGAUAUUUGCAAUACCAUACAAUUUUCUCGCAGUGGAAAGACUCAAAUGCUAAAAUGAAUGUCCACCUGAAGGUGAACGGACCCCGAGGAGAAGAAAAGAUCCUGGCUCUGUGCAAACAUGCAGAAGAUUUCAAGAGAUUUACUGUACUGCAGCUAAAACAGAAAAUUUUGGAACGAUUCAAGAUAGAUAAUGACAUCCGGAUGGUGUUCCAAACCGAGCGGCUGGAAGAAUCCUCCCUGGUGUCAAAAUACGGGAUCAAACACAUGAGUACCAUCCAUACCCUGCUGAUGCUGCCUGGAGGCAUGAAGGGAUGAAGACUCGUCGCACAGAGAUUCUAAACAGACAGACAACAUGACACCAUUAAUUACCUGGG